AGGAGGCACACACGGACUCAGAAGACCUGGGUUUGAGUCUCAGCUCCUUUGCUUAUUGGCUAUGUGAUCCUGGGCAAUCCAUGUAACCUCUCUAGGCCUCAGUUUUCUUGUCUGUAAAAUGGAAAUGCUACUGAUAAUGCCUACUUCAGGAGCUAAGGAGUUCCAGCCCACACCUUCCUAGAAGUUCUGGGAUUCCUGGGCAGGAGGUACCGCCGAAGAGUCUGUUUUGCUCUGAGCAAGGGGCUCAAGCCCCUGCUGAGGAAGUGGGCCCACAGGAUUUGGACACAAGUUCACAGAGGAAGGGAGUUUGGAAGACUGGAGGCCUGAGUGAGGCAGGAGGUGAAUCUGAAUAACCUGCUCUAGGCUGCACUGAGAACAUCCCUCUUUCUGACAGUGAAGACCUUGCUUUUUGAGCAAGCUUGCUUUCCCCAAAUCUUCCUCCCAGAGGCUUCUCAGUCUCUCAAGCAAAGAGAGCCCACCUGAGCCCUUGUCCAGACAAGUUGGAUAUAUUUGAACAAUUUAGCCUUAACUUGUUCCCCCCUACCACUGCCACCUACUCUUCUUUAAUUCUCUAAUACCCACCCUCCCCACACCUUUUCCCGCAAGAAUGUCUACAUAUGUUCUAUAGCGACGAAAAGAAAUACACUGUUCUUUCCGUAUAGGGCUUAUUCAGUAAGGAGUUUUUUGUUUUUUGGGUUUUUUCCCCCAUGAUCCUAAAAUUCUGUUCUUAUUUGAGAUGCUUUGAUAAGAGUGAAACCACCUGCUGCCUGGCCUGGGUGAUGCAGCGAUUCUCU
rnacentral:lncRNA from 1 species